AGCAGCCGCGGUAAUUCCAGCUCCAAUAGCGUAUAUUAAAGUUGUUGCAGUUAAAAAGCUCGUAGUUGAAUUUCAGGCCUGGCUGGACGGUCCGCCCUUCGGGUGAGUACUGUCUGUGGUCGGGUCCUACCUUCUGGCGAAGCGUCAUGGCCUUAACCGGCCGUGGCGGGGAACCAGGACUUUUACUGUGAAAAAUUAGAGUGUUCAAAGCAGGCAAUCGCUUGGAUACAUUAGCAUGGAAUAAUGGAAUAGGACAAUGGUUCUAUUUGUUGGUUUCUAGGACCGUUGUAAUGAUUAAUAGGGAUAGUUGGGGGCAUUAGUAUUCAAUUGUCAGAGGUGAAAUUCUUGGAUUUAUUGAAGACUAACUACUGCGAAAGCAUUUGCCAAGGAUGUUUUCAUUAAUCAAGAACGAAAGUUAGGGGAUCGAAGACGAUCAGAUACCGUCGUAGUCUUAACCAUAAACUAUGCCGACUAGGAAUCGGGCGAUGUUGAAAA
rnacentral:rRNA from 1 species